UGAGAUUCAGGCCAGUGUCCGAUGAGGGUAGAUGCCUUCCACCCGUGCAUGAGGUCCUAGACUUGAGUGUCUGGAUGUCAGCCGGGGGAUGGAUUGGUUUUCUACUUGUGGAGCUGGUGAUACUUGCGUCUGCAGCGCCAGGUGGUCGGGAUCGAAAUGCAGAGUGGGUCCGAGGUAGACUUCAGAGGGGACCAAGUAGAAUGCCUAGAAGUUUGAUGUCAGCUGUCAGGCUCGUAGAGUGUAUAGGAAUGGUUAGUAGAGAGUUUUAGUUGAGUUUGAGAGGGCAGCAGGCAGGUCUAGGAACCAGCCCUGGUGCCAUAGAUAGAGCGAGUGUUCAGAGGUUUCAGGCUAGU
rnacentral:lncRNA from 1 species